GAUGAACGCUGGCGGCGUGCCUAAUACAUGCAAGUCGAGCGAACAGACGAGGAGCUUGCUCCUCUGACGUUAGCGGCGGACGGGUGAGUAACACGUGGAUAACCUACCUAUAAGACUGGGAUAACUUCGGGAAACCGGAGCUAAUACCGGAUAAUAUAUUGAACCGCAUGGUUCAAUAGUGAAAGACGGUUUUGCUGUCACUUAUAGAUGGAUCCGCGCCGCAUUAGCUAGUUGGUAAGGUAACGGCUUACCAAGGCAACGAUGCGUAGCCGACCUGAGAGGGUGAUCGGCCACACUGGAACUGAGACACGGUCCAGACUCCUACGGGAGGCAGCAGUAGGGAAUCUUCCGCAAAGGGCGAAAGCCUGACGGAGCAACGCCGCGUGAGUGAUGAAGGUCUUCGGAUCGUAAAACUCUGUUAUUAGGGAAGAACAAAUGUGUAAGUAACUAUGCACGUCUUGACGGUACCUAAUCAGAAAGCCACGGCUAACUACGUC
rnacentral:rRNA from 1 species